AGUGAACGCUGGCGGCAGGCCUAACACAUGCAAGUCGAACGGCAGCACAAGAGAGCUUGCUCUCUGGGUGGCGAGUGGCGGACGGGUGAGGAAUGCAUCGGAAUCUGCCCAUUUGUGGGGGAUAACCUCGGGAAACCGGGACUACUACCGCAUACGACCUACGGGUGAAAGCAGGGGAUCUUCGGACCUUGCGCAGAUGGAUGAGCCGAUGCCGGAUUAGCUAGUUGGAGGGGUAAAGGCCCACCAAGGCGACGAUCCGUAGCUGGUCUGAGAGGAUGAUCAGCCACACUGGGACUGAGACACGGCCCAGACUCCUACGGGAGGCAGCAGUGGGGAAUAUUGGACAAUGGGCGCAAGCCUGAUCCAGCCAUGCCGCGUGUGUGAAGAAGGCCUUCGGGUUGUAAAGCACUUUUGCUGGGAAAGAAAAGCAGCCGGUUAAUACCCGGUUGUCAUGACGGUACCCAAAGAAUAAGCACCGGCUAACUUCGUG
rnacentral:rRNA from 1 species